rnacentral:rRNA from 1 species
UAGGGAAUCUUCCGCAAUGGACGCAAGUCUGACGGAGCAACGCCGCGUGAGUGAAGAAGGAUUUCGGUUCGUAAAACUCUGUUGUUAGAGAAGAACAGCGCAUAGAGUAACUGUUAUGCGUGUGACGGUAUCUAACCAGAAAGCCACGGCUAACUACGUGCCAGCAGCCGCGGUAAUACGUAGGUGGCAAGCGUUGUCCGGAUUUAUUGGGCGUAAAGCGAGCGCAGGCGGUCAAUUAAGUCUGAUGUGAAAGCCCCCGGCUCAACCGGGGAGGGUCAUUGGAAACUGGUUGACUUGAGUGCAGAAGAGGAGAGUGGAAUUCCAUGUGUAGCGAUAAAAUGCGUAGAUAUAUGGAGGAACACCAGUGGCGAAGGCGACUCUCUGGUCUGUAACUGACGCUGAGGCUAGAAAGCGUGGGUAGCAAACAGG